UACGUAGGGGGCAAGCGUUGUCCGGAAUCCUUGGGCGUAAAGCGCGUGUAGGCGGCUCGAUAAGUCUGCUGUGAAAGUCCAAGGCUCAACCUUGGGAUGCCGGUGGAUACUGUCGAGCUCGAGUCCGGAAGAGGAGUGUGGAAUUCCUGGUGUAGCGGUGAAAUGCGCAGAUAUCAAGUGGAACACCAGUGGCGAAGGCGAGUCCCUGGACAACACCUGACACUGAGGCACGAAAGCUAGGGGAGCAAACAGG
rnacentral:rRNA from 1 species